rnacentral:lncRNA from 1 species
AGCCUACACAGCCUGCAACCCCACCCCCCUGCCAACCUGCCACUAAUCAAUCUAGUCUUUAAAAAAUCUUUGGCAGAGGGACCUUUAAUAGAUACUUUUUAUCCAGCAAUGGGCAAAUGUCGCGGCUCUUCGCAGCCAGGGUCAUCAGAACUUUAUUGGGUACAAGCAAUUACCAAAGACUGCCCAACACUCUGCCUUAAGAUAAAUGGCAAGCGUUUUGAGGGCCUUUUAGACUCAAGUGCAGAUUU